GGUGUGGGCCGAAGAUAUGCUCAUGUGGUGUUGAGGAAAGCAGACAUUGACCUCACCAAGAGGGCGGGAGAACUCACUGAGGAUGAGGUGGAACGUGUGAUCACCAUUAUGCAGAAUCCACGCCAGUACAAGAUCCCAGACUGGUUCUUGAACAGACAGAAGGAUGUAAAGGAUGGAAAAUACAGCCAGGUGUGUACUGAAAUGAGGGCAGGAUUAGAGGAAGGGUGGAGGGUCCUAACAGAAUUGGGCAUAGGAGGUGAGGGGAUAAAACAUCCCUUGCCCUCUCCUCUGAAUCCAGGUCCUAGCCAAUGGUCUGGACAACAAGCUGCGUGAAGACCUGGAGCGACUGAAGAAGAUUCGGGCCCACAGAGGGCUGCGUCACUUCUGGGGCCUUCGUGUCCGAGGCCAGCACACCAAGACCACUGGCCGCCGUGGCCGCACCGUGGGUGUGUCCAAGAAGAAAUAAGUCUGUAGGCCUUGUCUGUUAAUAAAUAGUUUAUAUACC
rnacentral:sRNA from 1 species